CACUCAUCCCUAAAAGACAGCUUCCACAAUAUUAAAUCGGUUGAGGGGGCAGCUGUAUUGAAUUGGUUUUUACAAAGAUUACGUAUUUUAACAUUAACCUUUUUAUUUAUUUCUUAUUCUAUAUAUUGUAUAUGCUUAUAUAAUAAGUUAUGCUUAUAUAAUAAGUUAUAAUAAGACCAUGUUUCAAAAUAGCAAUAUCUAACGUGAGCAAAAUUAGUAAUGUAGAAAGAUACCCCCCUUUAACGCCAAUGUAAUCACUUUGAAGCACGCUGCUUCCCUUCUGCAAUAAGCGAUUUUCAUAUGGCUAUCGGUUUUUUUAUAUAUACAUAUAUUGUAUAUGCUAAUAUAAUAAGUUAUGCUUUUAUAAUAGGUUAUAAUAAGACCAUGUUUCAAAAUAGCAAUAUCUAACGUGAGCAAAAUUAGUAAUGUAGAAAGAUACCCCCCUUUAACGCCAAUGUAAUCACUUUGAAGCACGCUGCUUCCCUUCUGCAAUAAGCAAUUUUCAUAUGGCUAUCGGUUUCAGAAACACGACACCCCAAGUCACAAGAAUGUACUGGCAAUGGAGUUCACUCAAGAAAAUGAGAUAAAAAAAACUAGCAGAGCUCAAUCGAAAAGAAAUACUGACAUGUGCUGAGAAACAAUCUUCGAUGCUAGAUGAAGAACAAGGACGGGAAAAACUCAAAACAAGAAACGAACAUGAAUUAUAUUCAAACAGAUUAAAAGUCGAGUCUGACCGCACGUGUAUGGACUCGCGUCCCGCCUAGCCCUCCCGAUUACCUUUUCGUGGCAUGUGCUACUUUCAGGGCAAACAGAGAAGUCCAGUACCAAGCGGUAUUCCCCAAAACAAUUGUGGUGGAAAUGGGAUACAUCCUGGUCCCGGCCAAGUUGGACAAUGAGAUCGUAACACAAAAAUCCAUUGCCCGAGGAAUCUCCGCAAACUCGUACCUAGCAUCCGAGGCAGUGCCCUAGAUUGCUGGGCGAGCGCGGAAUUUUAUGAGCAAGUGGACAUAAAGCAUCUUAUGGACUAUUUAUCACUCAAAGGCUAGCUCUUCAAUUUCCAUACAGCCCACCUCCCCCAACAGGCAAGGUCACCUCUGGUGGUGUACUGUACCUCGUGAAACAGUGAGAAAUGUGGCCCCUGAUCGCUCCAACUUUCGGUUUGCCCAUUUGUGUUCUUCUGUGAAACUUAUACCCACAGUGAGUAGGCCAGAAACAGACGAGGCAAAUAAUUUACAAGGUCUACCAAUUCACUGUAUCUUAUCUGAGCGACAAGACACAAGCUGUUGUCAGAAGAAGAGGUUUUUCUUAAUAUGAUUCCUUAUCUAAUUAUUUUUCUAUGUUAUCAUUAUCAUUUUUUUUUCCUUUUUCUUAAUACUGUAUGUGUAUAUUUAAUAAUUGGACAGUGUCAUUUUUACGGUCAAGAUCAGUAUCUGGCUGGAGCGACAUGAUUUAAGAAGUUAAAUGUAAGUGUGUGUAAGGAGUUACACAUUGGAAGCUCAGCAAAUUCAAGCUUUGUAUAAAGAUACAAUAUUUGCAGGCCUACAUACAGGCUGUGAAUC